rnacentral:rRNA from 1 species
UACGUAGGGACCAAGCGUUGUUCGGAUUUACUGGGCGUAAAGGGCGCGUAGGCGGCAAUUCAAGUCAGUUGUGAAAUCUCCGAGCUUAACUCGGAACGGUCAACUGAUACUGUUUUGCUAGAGUACAGAAGGGGCAAUCGGAAUUCUUGGUGUAGCGGUGAAAUGCGUAGAUAUCAAGAGGAACACCUGAGGUGAAGACGGGUUGCUGGGCUGAUACUGACGCUGAGGCGCGAAAGCUAGGGGAGCAAACAGG